AGUUAAAACGAGACAGAUUUAUUUUUUACCGCAUUGGCCAGGAAACUAGAUAGUCCUCUCUGGAGGUGCUGGGGGGGUGCGCACAUAGGCGCCAAGAGGCUCCCUCGGGCUUUUUAGUUAUAGUUUUUAGUUAUAGAAUUAGUUGUUAAGCUAGAAAUAAGUACC